UGCGUAGGUGGCCUUUUAAGUUGGAUGUGAAAUACCCGGGCUUAACUUGGGGGUGCAUCCAAAACUGGAAGGCUAGAGUGCAGGAGAGGAAAGCGGAAUUCCUAGUGUAGCGGUGAAAUGCGUAGAUAUUAGGAGGAACACCAGUGGCGAAGGCGGCUUUCUGGACUGUAACUGACACUGAGGCACGAAAGCGUGGGGAGGCAAAACA
rnacentral:rRNA from 1 species